GGAGAACUGAGCAAGCGCGGCAGCCUGGGCCUUCCCCGCAGUCCCGAGGGAACCGCCACUGCCAAGGCGCCCAGAAUUCAGGGUUCUGUCUGGGUUGCCCGUCACACUUUCCGAUGGCUGAGGGCCCCCAACGGAAACCUAGACAACUUGGCCUGGAAUGCUUUUGUGUACAGCUUCGCUCCCACCCAUGGAGGACUUUGAGAGAUGAGAAGAAGCCUGAAGAGGCCACACAUGAGGUGCAGAGGGUCCUCAUGGUGGUGCAGUACGCAUGCCUUGAAGCUGACAUUGGACAUCCAGCUGACUUUUGCUGACUCAAAAAUUUAAAGGAAUGGAAAGAGAAAAGAACAAUGGCAGCAGUAUGACAUCACCUCUCAUGGACAGCAGUAUGACCUCAUCUCUCACGGAGCCCAGUAUGACACCUUCUCUCAUAGGGAAACACAGCUAGUCCUUGAUCUGUCUCCCAUCUCCUCACACACACCCCAGCCUGUCAGGGAGUCAAGUCACCAUUUAUAAAAAUCACAAGAAGAGGCAGGAUGUGAUGACACCCAUCCAAAAUCCCAGUGCUCGGGAGGCAGAGACCAGAGGGUCAGCCACAAAUUGGAGACCAGCUUGAUUUACAAAGUGAGACUCUGGCCAGGCACUGGUGACGCACGCCUUUAAUCCCAGGACUUGGGAGGCAGAGGCAGGCGGAUUUCUGAGUUCGAGGCCAGGCUGGU